rnacentral:rRNA from 1 species
UACGUAGGGACCAAGCGUUGUCCGGAAUCAUUGGGCGUAAAGAGCUUGUAGGCGGUCUGUCGCGUCUGCUGUGAAAAUCCGGGGCUCAACCCCGGACUUGCAGUGGGUACGGGCAGACUAGAGUGUGGUAGGGGAGACUGGAAUUCCUGGUGUAGCGGUGAAAUGCGUAGAUAUCUGGAGGAACACCGGUGGCGAAGGCGGCAUCCUGGACCGGCAUUGACGCUGAGGCGCGAAAGCUAGGGGAGCAAACGGGG